GAGAUCGUGUGGUAGGAGAGAAGAGUAACGAAAGGGAGAUGGAAAGGGAGGAGGGGCAAAUCCCCUUUGUAAAGGGGAGAGGGAGGAAGAUAAAGGGGAUUGAGAAAAAAGAAAGGGGAAAGGGGAUAUGUUGGAGAGAGCUUUUUGCUCUUCAAUCCCCUUUAUGGCUGAAAAGUGGAAAGAGAAAAAGGGAUGUGUUGGAGUUGCUCUUACGACGCAUUUUUGUUCGUCACAAAUCAGCAGUGGAAG
rnacentral:lncRNA from 1 species